CAGGAUGAUUUCAUGUCCUUUGUACCCUAGAACUUAAAGUAUAAUAAAAAAAAAAAAAGAAAAUGAUUCCAGACUGUGGAAGCAUAAAUGAGAAGAUGAAGAAUGAACUGUACUGUAAGAAAAAAUUUACUGUGGAUAAGUCGUAAUUGUAGGAGCCCUGUGGCUUGUGAUUUGAAGCCAUUGUGUCAACACAAAUGGUCAAAUGAAGUAAGGAAAAGUACUAGGACCUUGUUCUAACAUGCCUCCAGAAUCCUUAAAUACUAUGUUGAAUGCUUCUUAAAAUGAUGUUGUAAUAAUGCAAAAGUGUAAUAAAUUUACAAAAGAUGAAUAUGAAUACUAUGAUCUGUUGGAUUAGGGAAAUUCAUGCCAUGAUGUAUGGCAAUGAGAGGUAAUUAGAAGGUUGGAUUUGGAAACUUAUAAGGUUAUAUGAUGUUGACAUCAGUUGCAGAUCUUAUGUUGUGCUAGGUGAACACCAAAAAGUAGGAGGAGGAGGAAGUGGAGGAAGAAAAGGAGAAGGAGGAGGAAGGAAAAAGGAAGAGAAGGAGGAGAAAUCUUCAUUCAAUGAAAAGACAGGACAGUAUAGUGGUUACCAGCUCACGCUCUAAGGCCAGAUUGCCAUGUCAUAAUCAUUGCUUUGCCACCUUAACUGCCCCUUGCCUCUUUGACCAGUUUUCUUAUCUGUAAAAUGAGUACAAUAAUCAUAUCUGUCAUAGUAUUUGUGAAUAUUAAAUGGUUAAUUUGGGUGCAUUAUAUAGCAUGGACUGAAACCAUAUUAUCUAUUAUUAUUACAAUUGUUCUUGUUUCCCAGGACGAAAGUGAGGGGAUACACGAGCAGGAAAAGAUGACCUAGAGCUAAAUAUAAAUCUUAUCUAACUUUGGAGUUCCAAGUUCCAGUGCUACAUUCUCCAUCAGUGCCUUAUGUUAGAGAAUGUGAUGAGCUUUGCCUGUGGAGACAGGAUCCCAGGGAAAUGACAAUAACAAAAGAAAGAAGAAAGAAUAUGAGCUUCCUCCAGACAUCAUCAAAGAUCAUUGCCAAAGUUUUGAUGGGCUUUGAUUAAGGUAUCCUGGGACCUCAGCACAACCAACAAUAAAGAGAGAAGGAAGAAGACCCAGGACCAGGACAGCCUCCAUGUCAGAAAUGAAGAAGGAAUCUGCACGUUCAGACAAAAUAGACCUACUGCCCUCUAGAUACUUCCUUCAGCCUCUCAACUUAAGAUAAACUUUUGUGUCUUCAUUCUUAUCAUUUUUGUACCAAGAAAUACUGGACAUCCUUCAUCUCCAGCAGAUUAUAUUUCCAUCUGGCUCUGUCUGUCCUCUUUUAUGACUAGUCUCUUGAAAGUUUUUCUAAUUCAUCUAUGAACUCAAGGUCAAUCAUCAGUGAAAGCCUAGUCAUUAGAGAAACUUUAAUGUCAACCACUUCUGUAGACAUUCUUUUUGCGUUUUGCUCUAACAGGAAUCUGACUCUCUCCUGUGGACUCCGUUCCUUGAAAUCCAAAACUUAAAGUAUAAUAAUAAUAAAAUUAAAAAAAAAAGAAAGAAAUCAAGUCAAGCAGAAAUUGAGUUGAUUCUUCUAUCCCUUGUAUCUCUCAGCUUGGAGAAGUCCUUUUUACUCCACAUUGUCAUUCACAAACAACUGAUUAAAAGAGGGACAACAUGGUUUCACUGAGCAAACAUAGCCCCGUGUAGGAGUGGGAAAAAGCACAAGGCAGUGACAGACUGAAACUCUCUGGAGAAGUCACUCAUCUCAGCUGACUAUGAAGACUCCAUGUGGGACACCAUAGAGACCUCUCCAUUCUUAAUAACUGCUCCCUAUAGUACUAUAAUCCUUGGGCUCUGUUGCUUCAACAUUCUAUGGUUUAUUAAUGAGAUCCAAUAUGAGUUCACUCCUGUCCAUUAUAGUUGCUUCUUAUGAAAAGAAAGGAGAUCCUAUGAGGUUUUGUUCCAUCUGUUCAGUACCUCCAAUGCCAACAGUAUGAUCUCCUUUCUCAGAAACACAGAAAACCAGACAUACUGGGGUGGGCAUGCUUCACAUUUCUCCAUAGCUAAUGCAUGACCUCCAAUCAUAUUCAACCCAUGCUCAAUUCAUCAUUUGCUUAUGCUGUCUGCCAACCUAAAAAAUCUUCUAGUAUUUGUGUAUUCUCUCACCACAUAAUACUAAUACUCUGAAAUUAAUUGUGUUUUCCACUACUUUUGCAUACCAUCCAAAAUCUUGCACACUAAGCAAGGAUUGACUUUUAAAAUGCAUAUUUAUUUUUACACAUUAGCACUUUGGAGAAAGAAAGAAAUCCCUUCUCCUUUUUAUAAUUGAGUGCUCAGCAGUCGUGGGCUCAUAGUUGACAUCUAACCAAAAAGCUUAACAUCUACUGCUAGUUUCAGCCCAAACACCAAUAAGCUGGAUACAUUUGUGUCAGUUCCUUACUUUCUCUAUCAGUUUUUUUCACUUGAAUGGGCUGAACACAAUAAGUGAUUAC
rnacentral:lncRNA from 1 species